GAAAAGCAGCAUAGAUGGAGAUGGAAUGUAACACCUGAAAUAAAAGGAUUUUGCAGGAAAUAAUGUAAAUCAAGCCUUUUGCCCUUAAUGACCCAUAAUAAAAUGCUCUUGCUACCAAGCUCUGCAGGCAACCCAGUGCAGGUUGCCAUGGAAAUGCCCAGCUGCUCCUCUGCGCAGUUGCUUAAUGAUCAGUGUGAUGCCAGGCUCUUGAGAGAAGCACAGGCUCAGACAACUCUUUACAGCCACAGGGACAGUCCACUCAGGACUGCAGUUACGUCUGAGUCGGAGCCCCUGUGUCCAGGCAGUCAGAAGCAAGACAGAAACAGGGCGGCCAUGGCACGUUGCUGCAGAUGCCGCUUCACCAACCUGUGACCUGGCUCCCGCUCUACACAGGUGAACCUUCCAGCUGUGGGCCAACAACUCCUGAUCAAAAAGGUUGUGCAGUUUCUGGUUUGGGUAAACUAUAAUAAAUUUGAUUAAAGUGCAGAUACCUCAUGGAGAUGUUAUUUUUGCUCAUAAAGAGUCUUUCUGACACUCUUAAAUGGCCUUAAAAAUGAACCUAAAAUGUCAUUUUGGGGAUUUGUAAGGCAUUAGAGAGUUGCAUCCAUCUCUUUCUCCUUCCCUUCUUUCUUUCUCUUUAGAAGUGCUUAGAAAAGCAUAGCAUCUUGGGGUCAGAAUAUCAUUAUAAAGCAAAUUACUGCUAAAAUGACCUAAAUGCCAACCUCAUAGUCUUAAGGAGUCCUUUCCUUACACUGUGUGUUGAACUGAUUGCUUGAAAAUAACUAAAUCGUCCGGGAGCUUUCAAUCAUGUAAUGCCUCAUAGUUCUUCUGGGGACAGAGACUGAAUGUGGCUACUUUGCAGAGCAUGACGUUUAAUGAUGCCAAGUGUCUUGAGUGCUCCUCACACAGAAUCUCCAGGAAGCAGAGAUGGAUGGGUAGAUUUUACAAUGGAGAGAGGACCGGUCCACUCUCAAAGUUCCAUCCUGGACAUUGAAUAGCAUCUUGGGAGGAACCAAAAUGGGAUCCCACUCUGGGUGACUCAUGUUGAGGAGGACAACAAAAGAAAUCAGCCCUGAGACAAACCAGCUCCCACUGAAGGAAAUAAUUUGACCAUGAACAGAGUGGAAACAGGAUAUAGAGCUCCCAAUAAUUUAGCCCAAAUGUAUACUUAAAUUGGAUCGCCUUGUAAGAAUGCUUUAAAAAAUAAAAUGCAGCCACCU
rnacentral:lncRNA from 1 species